UCCCAUAUCUCUUUUGCUGUAGGUUUGUUGUGAUAUUGAUCAAACAAAGUAUUAGACAUGGCAUUGCAAAUGUGUCCCUUACACACGUAGUCAUCUUGCUCCCACUUAUGUCGCACUCUGGUUUCCCCUAAUGUCUCAUCCUCACGUUCUUGAGGCUUUGGUGUUGUGAGAACAUAGACCACAUUGAGGCUUGUCAACAAGAAAUGCAACUUUUUCUACCAACGAAUAAAGUUGCCACCAUCAAACCACUCCAAUUUGACAAAAUCUACUGC
rnacentral:lncRNA from 1 species